GCGGAUGUAGCUCAGUUGGUUAGAGCGCCGGCCUGUCACGCCGGAGGUCGCGGGUUCAAGUCCCGUCAUUCGCGCCA
rnacentral:tRNA from 23 species